UACGAAGGGGGCUAGCGUUGUUCGGAAUCACUGGGCGUAAAGGGUGCGUAGGCGGAUUAUUAAGUCAGUGGUGAAAGCCUGCAGCUUAACUGCAGAACUGCCAUUGAUACUGAUGAUCUUGAGUAUGAUUGAGGUGGGCGGAAUGUGUCAUGUAGCGGUGAAAUGCUUAGAUAUGACACAGAACACCGAUUGCGAAGGCAGCUCACUAAGCCAUAACUGACGCUGAUGCACGAAAGCGUGGGGAGCAAACAGG
rnacentral:rRNA from 1 species